GAAAAUGGAUUUUUUUGUUUUGGCAAGAGCAUGAGAGCUUUUACUGGGCAAGAAGACAAGAGAUGGAGAGUCCAGCCGGGCCUGCGCUUAAGUGCGCGGUCUUGCUAGGCUUGUAAGUUUCUUUCUUGCUAUUCCAAACGGUGAGAGAUUUCUGUGCUUUUGUUAUAGGACAAUUAAAACCGUUUCAAUACAACACACUGUGGAGUUUUCAUUAUCUUUGCAACUUUUUCUUUGGGCAUUCGAGCAAUCGGGGCCCAGAGGUAACAAACACAAACAAUUUUAUUUAUUCAUUAAAUUUUUGUCAAAAACAAGAAUUUUCGUAACUGGAAAUUUUAAAAUAUUAAAAACUUUCAACAACGGAUCUCUUGGUUCUCGCAUCGAUGAAGAACGCAGCGAAAUGCGAUACGUAAUGUGAAUUGCAGAAUUCCGUGAAUCAUCGAAUCUUUGAACGCACAUUGCGCCCCUUGGUAUUCCAGGGGGCAUGCCUGUUUGAGCGUCAUUUCCUUCUCAAACAUUCUGUUUGGUAGUGAGUGAUACUCUUUGGAGUUAACUUGAAAUUGCUGGCCUUUUCAUUGGAUGUUUUUUUUUCCAAAGAGAGGUUUCUCUGCGUGCUUGAGGUAUAAUGCAAGUAUACGGUCGUUUUAGGUUUUACCAACUGCGGCUAAUCUUUUUUAUACUGAGCGUAUUGGAACGUUAUCGAUAAGAAGAGAGCGUCUAGGCGAACAAUGUUCUUAAAGUUUGACCUCAAAUCAGGUAGGAGUACCCGCUGAACUUAAGCAUAUCAAUAAGCGGAGGA
rnacentral:rRNA from 1 species